rnacentral:lncRNA from 1 species
UUGUCUUUCUUUCCAACUACAUCUUAUGGAGUUAUGAAAAUUUUGGAAGAUCUUCUAAUUGACAAUCAUAUUGUCUUAGAAGUAUAUAUCUUAUAUAUGGGUAAUAGAUAACAUCUAACGAACUAAAUCUUAUUCGAGUUCGUUCUUCUCCUAAUGGAGAAAUUUAUUAUCUUAUGAUGCUUCUUUCCUUGAUAUCUUUCAAGGAAACUCAUCUAAAGUGUUACCUUUCCUUGGAUCAAAUCUAAUGAGGUCAAUACUUUAGAUGUCUUACUCAUCAACUUACAUUUCUUGAAUUCUUUGAAACCUUUUGCAAAGUAUUCGGACUUGUGUUUAUUCAAAAUAAACUAUAGUCCAACCGAGAGUGAUCUUUGGUGAAUGUCAUACAACAUGAGUAGUAUUAUGUUGUGGACAAGUGCCACUAACAUCUAAGUGAAUUAACCUCAACAACUUUGUGAUUCUUUCUUCUUUCCAAAAGAAUAAAGAUUCGAACAUUUCGCCUCUAUACAAUUUUAACAAGAAGGUAUUGGAUCCGGAUCUUACGAUCCAAAGCAUCCAUCUAUGACCAACUCGUAAUUUAUGUUUUAGAGGUAUCACAACUCAGUUGGGAUUAGUCACUACCUUGCAACCUUUUGGGUUUUAAGCAUCAUUAUAUUCUAAACAGUUAACACUACCAUAUCAUCUCUACUAUAGAGACAAUCAAUUAGAUUACUAUAAUCCAAUCAUUGAUUAAUAAAGAACAAUGUUUUGUCAAACAAAACAUUCAUCCAUCUCUACUAUAUUGACGGAAUUAAGUUCCUUAAAAUUGGAAUGUAAAGACUAUCUUUAGUUUUUCCAAUUUCUUUGGUAGUUCAUAUGAGGAAGUAAGUACUAUCUGCUUUCGCAGAGAUCUAUAUUUUAUUCACGUUCCGAAUGUGAAGCACCUUUUCUUCUCUCAUAUAUCUUCUACUUCUUAUUAGUCACACUUUUACAACGAUUGUAAAACAUAGUUACUAAUACAGAAUCAAGCAUUCAAGUAGAAGAACCAACUAUUUUGAACUAUUCAAGAACAAUUUACAACACCUUCGAAAGGUGUGUUCUUGACACUUGCAAGACAUUUUCUUGCAAAUACCCCUUCCAAUGUCCAUCCUUUCAUAAAGAAAGUUUGUUCCCUUUGAGUUAUUUUAUCUUCUUCAUUUUGACUUCUCCAUUUGACUACAAUAGUCAUGGUCCCUAAACUCCCACUAUAUCUCUCUUGAAACUUUAUUUCAAUUGUGUUAUACACAUCAAACAUUUUGGAAAGCAUGUGUUUUAUUGUUCACUACAUAGUUUACAAUAAACUUAGUGAACCAUUAGGAUAGGGACAUAAAGGUGAAGUCCUUAGCCUAGUUUCCGUCUCGUUAAGUGGUUUUAUCACUUCAACACUCAAUGAUUCAAAAAUCAUCAUAAGUCCAUGUUAAUGGACUAUUUUUUGUCAAACAACCAUUAUGUUCUAAACAUAAUUACAAACUUUCAAGAGUUUGUACAAGGCAACUCUCAUUUCUUCAUACAACAAUUUGUAAGUGAAGAAUCAUGGCACAUAAAGUGUCCAUGCCCAUUGUGCUUUCUUCUCAAGUUCUUUGUUCAUUUAACAAAGAAACAAGCACUAGUGUGUUUGCAUUGACUAAGGGUUGUUCAAAGAAACUCUUAUUUCUUCAUACAACAAUUUGUAAUUGAAGAAUUAUGACAUUAAAAGUGUUGUCCUCUUUAUGAUAGACUUUUUCUAACAUAUUCUUCUAAUGAUACAUUAUCAAUAGGAAGAUUGUGAAGAUGAGACUACUUAGGUACAUUUACAAGCCAUUUAAAGACAAUCUUUGGUUUUGUAGUACCAAGUCCGGAAACUAAAGCUUUCGGCUUUUAUUUGUCAAGUGUUGGAUAGCAUUUGCAAAUAUAUUGGUAAAUAAAUACAUAACGAAUAUAAAUUGAUUGAUUUUAAGCCAUUUGAUCCGGGUCUUUAAAUCAAAUAGCACCACCCACUAUUUUUGGCAAAUUCCAUAUCCCUCAUUGGAAUUCGAGAGUUUUGGAUGAAACUCUUAGUAGGGUAUGGGUGACUCACUAUUACCAAGCCCACCUCACAAUGAUAUGAUGUUGGCUAGCAUUAAUAAUAAUGAGAGAGUACGCUUACUCAUUUGUAUCUCUUGCAAGUACCCAUCUUAUUUGGCCUCUAGAGAAUGUUACCUCACAAUGAUAUGAUGUUGGCUCCAUUCCUCUUAGUUAAGUUCUUUCCCACCAUGCCGGUUUAGAAAGGGGUUCAAGUAUGACCUCACGAUGAUACGAUGUUGGCCACACUCGUUGCUUACCUUAACCUCAUCAAAUGUUUUAAAUAAACUCCUCCUGAGUAUAAGCAUGCACUUUGCACUCCCCCAUGAUAGGGUGAAGGCGGUGUACAAGUCAUAAACGAUUGGAGUCUACCAUGGUGGAAGGCCACGAAAGAGUGUUCAAAGCACUCUCACGCUUAUCAAACUUAAUAAUGGUUUGGUUUGAGGGUUUUAGGUCUCAUCACAUAUAAAUAUUCAUUUUAAUCUUUAUUAAAACAAUUUUGGUCCUAUUACAACUAUUGGUCAAUUUGAUUGUUUUAUUUGUAUAUAAUACUCCCACUAUGCUUAUAAAACGGUUUUUUAAAGCAAGAGUAUAUGAUACUACUAACAUAACCUUUUGCAUUCAUUUGAUGGACUAUAUAGUUGCCUUAGGGCCUUAGGAUGACUAUGAACCUUUGAUUAGAUUCAACACGAGCCUUGUGUUGAAUCUCGGUCUAGGGAUGGUGAUUGAUUUAGUUACGCGUUUAAUCACAUUAAGGCGUGUUGUCUUAGGGGCGUUGGACCCAACUACUUCAUUUUCAUGCAUAUCAAAAUAAAGCAAGAAAGAAGUACUUCAAAGUAAAGGUGAGCUUAUGCUCAUUACAACAUUUGAAUAAAUUCAAAUUACUUUAAAGUAAAGAAGAGCUUAUGCUCUUUUACAACAUUUGAUCAAAUCAAAUUACAACCAAAAAUCUAAUCUACACAUUCCCAUGGUUUCAAACAAAUUUGAAACGGCCUAUCACAUAGCUCAAUUAUCAUAGGCUUAGGUUCAUAAUCACCCUUUAAUUAAUUAACACUUUAACUAAUUAAACUUGAAUGCAACAUUUUCAUUUGGUUUUUGUAUCCAUAAAAUUGAUUUAAAUGGAGCUAAAUGAAAUAAAAAUCCAAUUCUCAUUUAAAGAGACAAAACAAUUUUGUUCUCAACCUAAUUUGGGCCAAAAUGCAAUUACCACAACUUUUGGGCCAUAUUGCAAAAAAAUAAACUUUUGGGGUCACUUUGUAAAAACACGAAAGUCCACUACUUCAUGUAAUUACAACUAGAACCCAAAUUUAAACAAUGCAAAAACUUCAUUAAAGGACCAAAACAAUUUGUCCUUUAGCGUUUUUGGACCUAAACGUAAAAACGUAAACUUUUGGGCCAAAGUGCAAAUACACAAAAGUAUCAAAACUUUAUGUAAUUGCAUAAAAGCCCCAAAAGUACUCCCUUUGAGGGAGUGGCCGGUUAUAGGAAGCAAAGGGAGUGAUGUGUGUGUUGAUUUGUAGUUUUAGACAUAAAGCAUGCAAGUGGUGCAUGACAUAAAUGUCAUGCAAGUGGUGUGUGUGAAAGGAAAUUAAUCCUUUCACACCCACCAAUAUUUCUUACACCUUUUAAAUAAAUAUCUAAUACAUUUAAAUAUAUGAUAAAUCAUAAAACAAAAACUUUAUGAAAUAAAUCAAAACUUUGAAUCAAAACACCAAACUUUUUGUUCUUGGCAAAAAUGUCAAGAACAAUGAAGAACACUCAUGAAAAACUCAAAAAUUUCCAUGAACAUUUUUUCACCCAAAAAACAUCCCAAAACCACUCAAACUUUAGGGAAAUAACAUAUAACCAAAAACUAGGGUACAUAGGGGUUCCAAAAGUCACUUGAAAACACUUUUAACAAGUCAAACAAGAACCCAAAAAUCCACCCUUUGGAUUUGGCCGAAUUUUCCCAAAAACAUGGCACCAAAUUUUAGCUCCAAUAUUCAUGCUCAUAUGAACUACAUCUACAACAUUUGAGAUGGCAAAUUUUCUAACAAAAUUUACAUUCAAAGAAACAAGAAUAAAGCUUGUAACAUAUUACAACUUUUAAAUCAAAACUAUGAACUACAAAACCCAAAAGGAUUCACCAACUACUAGACCUAGGCUCUGAUACCACUUGAAGGAAAGAUUUUGUGAAAACAUGUUCAUUUGAGCAACAUCUAUAAGCAUGCAAUUAACAAUUAAAGGCGGAAUCAUGCUUAGCAUGCACCCAAAAACAAAACAAUACCCAUGAAAUUCAAAGCCUAGUAGAUUGGUGAACCAAGACUCAACUCAAAUCAAAGUUGAGUUGAGAAAUUUAUACCUUUGUAGAUUCCUCUUUGCAUAAGCAAAGGCUAAUCACCCAAAGAGAGGGCCUUCAUUCCUUGCUUCUUAAAUCCAUGGAUUUGGAUGGAAGAAUAGAUUCUCCAAGUUCCCAAAAUUGAGAACCUCUAAGUUUCCACACCAAGGAUGGAUUGAUGAAGAAAUGAGUGACCUAGAGGAAGCAAGAUUGCUAGUUAAUUUCCUCUAGGGGUGGCCGGCCUCUUUAGAGAGAAAAGAGAGCUUUGUGUUUCGCAUCUUUUCUCCAAAAGAAAACCCCUUAAUGAAUUUAGGCUAUAAAGUCCUUUAUAUAGUUCCCUUCAAAUAAGUGACCUAAAGAACCAAAAAGCCAUUCUUCUAACAUGGCCGGCCACAAGGGUUUUAUUGGGCUUUUGGGCCUUUUGUGAAUUAAGUUGUCAUACAACUUAAGUCAAUGGGCUUGACGUUCGAAGCCCAUUGGGCCUUGAGGCCCAAAACUAACCCGUGGUCUUUUUCACGAACUUAUUCGUUUGAUUAAUUAACAUAUUAAUUAAUCCUUGCCAUAAAAUAAUUAAACCAUUUAAUUAUUCUUACUCAUCUCCGUUGUUUCUUCAAUCUUUACCUUACACGGUGUACGAUCCAUUAGGUUCCUUUUAGCGAGGCAGUGGGCGAUUAGAACUCUUUCAAACCGAUUGUGAAUUGAAACUUACUUUCAAUUCUCCCUUUAGUGAUUAUACACGUUUAGGACUUCCACAAACCAUGAGUGACACCUAGCAGCAUAUCAUGGUUACCCAAGCUAAUCAGAAGAGGUGGAGAACCUAUUCAGUUUAGGAUUACAAAUGCAAUACGGUCUUUCUCUCUAAUACAAUACUCUUGAGCACAUUGUUUGGUUUUGAUAGUUUAUUCAUGUCUACUAUCCAAUGUGAUUCGUUUACUUAUAUGAUUACCUUGAAUGUGAUUUGGAACGCCUUCCUAAAUCUCAUUCAUACUCUUGAUCAAAGAUUUUCAAUCAUAUCAUAGAGUAUUCUCCCCCAAACGGUUGAAGGUUAGAGAUCCCUUGUUGCGCAUUCAAUUGCCUCCAUGGCUAAGUGGCUUAACCCCAACGAUGCCGUGGACACCCGUGGAUGGGGGUGACUUUGACAUAAUCAAAGAUCAAGGACUUAACCACAAGACAACUUGUGAUGCCUCAGGUCAAAGGACUACUUUGCAUUAUCCCAACCAUGAGUUCUCAUGUGACAUGAAUAUGAGAACUCUUCGUUGAUCGUGUUCAGUGAACUCAUUCUCUAUUGAGCACCUACGUACUUGUCUUGAUGUCACACACACCAAUGAUUCGAGACUAGUCACUCUCCUUGAGAGAAGACACAGCACGUACUGAUCUUAACGGACUGUCAAUGCCCAAUUGGCAAUCCUAUGAUCAGGAACGUUUAGGAUGUGUCUACGAAAGAAUGGUCUCAUGAAUCUAACUUCUUUAGAUUGCAUUCUCCCAAUCACAUAUUCCUUGGACUUAUUGUUUAAGCAUAUAACAUUUAUAUGAGACGGGAUCAAACAAUAAUCUUUGCCUUUAUAUUUAAACUACAUUAGUUUAACUUUGUGAAAUGUCCGUAAAGUAUCAUCAUAUGAUUGGUUUUAGGGCACAUUUCCAUCAAUUAUCAAGACCAUCUUAAUAAUGUUUUCGGAAACCCAUAUUAUGUCCAAACAUUGAAUCACCAUUUAGUUGUAGCUAGCAAUUUCGAAUUAAUUGAAACCAAGACUAUCUCAAAGAUGGUUUCUUUAAAGUCAACCAUUCUCUUUGAUUGUAGUCACCUUAAGCUACCAAUUAGCUUAUGAAGGUUUCAUUAUUUCGGGUCAAAUGGUACUUUACCAUUUCCUUGAGUAUUGUCAUAUAUACACUCAAUGUAGUCAUAAGGAUUUUCAUUCUUAUUUCUUUCGAAUUAAGAGGUGCAACUCUAUGACAUAGUCAUAAAGUUCAAACCAUUCAAUUGAGACGGUUUAUAAAUCCUUCUCGACUACCAUGGAGCUUUUGGUAUAGGAACUAGGUUGUUAUAUUUGUUGAUUAUUAUCUUGUCUCUCAAAGAACCCAUUCUUUGAGUUCUAUCUCUCUUCAUUUGCACUUAGGCAAAUCAUAUUGUAAGAUUACAAUGAACUACCCAACAAAACAACAUUUGUUAGUUGGUUUAUAGAAGCGAUAUCCAAAAGUUAAUUUAAGGAUAUCCCACAAGAUUGUUAUCAAACAAAUAUUGCUUAUUUAGGAGCACAACCCCAAAUCUUAACAUGCUUGAGAUUUGUCUUUCUUUCCAACUACAUCUUAUGGAGUCAUGAAAAUUUUGGACGAUCUUCUAAUUGACAAUCAUAUUGUCUUAGAAGCAUAUCUCCUAUAUAUGGGUAAUUGAUAACAUCCAACAAACUAAAUCUUAUUCAAGUUCGUUUUCUUCUCCUAAUGGAGAAAUCCAUUAUUCUUUGAUGCUUCUUUCCUUGAUAUCUUUCAAGGAAACUCAUCUAAAGUGUUACCUUUCCUUGGAUCAAAUCUAAUGAGGUCAAUACUUUAGAUGUCUUACUCAUCAACUUACAUUUCUUGAAUUCUUUGAAACCUUUUGCAAAGUAUUCGGACUUG